rnacentral:rRNA from 1 species
GAUGAACGCUGGCGGCGUGCCUAAUACAUGCAAGUCGAGCGAACAGACGAGGAGCUUGCUCCUCUGACGUUAGCGGCGGACGGGUGAGUAACACGUGGAUAACCUACCUAUAAGACUGGGAUAACUUCGGGAAACCGGAGCUAAUACCGGAUAAUAUAUUGAACCGCAUGGUUCAAUAGUGAAAGACGGUUUUGCUGUCACUUAUAGAUGGAUCCGCGCCGCAUUAGCUAGUUGGUAAGGUAACGGCUUACCAAGGCAACGAUGCGUAGCCGACCUGAGAGGGUGAUCGGCCACACUGGAACUGAGACACGGUCCAGACUCCUACGGGAGGCAGCAGUAGGGAAUCUUCCGCAAAGGGCGAAAGCUUGACGGAGCAACGCCGCGUGAGUGAUGAAGGUCUUCGGAUCGUAAAACUCUGUUAUUAGGGAAGAACAAAUGCGUAAGUAACUAUGCACGUCUUGACGGUACCUAAUCAGAAAGCCACGGCUAACUACGUG